rnacentral:lncRNA from 1 species
GUUCUGAAGGUCAAAGGCAGUGAGAGCAGCCCAGUUGGGCAUUCUGGCGAAGCCUGCGGGGGAGGUGGAGCCCUUCCCAGAGCACCCUGAUAACCCUGACAGGCACACUCGCUGCCUCCGGGGCCUGAGGAGGAGGGUGGAAAGCUCUCCCAUAUCCUCGAGCGAGGAAAGCGCUCUCCUUGACUGCCCUCGCAUGUCUAGUGACCUGUCUCUGCACUGGGACCAGGAAGAUGCUUUAUUUCAAAGAGGCCCCGCAGCUCCGUGUGAGGCCUGCACACAGGAGAGACAAAGAGACAUGAACUGGGAGACUCCAGAGGAGGUGUCUGUGCUGGGAAGAGAGACGACAGGGCCUGGGGCUGCUGCCUAGCUGGGGAAGAGCUGGGCCCCAGGUGAGGGCUUCUGGGCCCUGGCUCCGAUCUGACCCAGGCAGACUCACAGACAAUAUCAAUGUCCUGUGGUUUAUGCCAGGAUACAGAAAGUACGGGAUAGAGCAGGAGCCCAGAGGAGGUGUGACUCACCCAGCUGGGAGACUUCGGGGAGAGCAGGGAAAGGCAGGAGAAUGACCCUCGAAGAAGUACAAGCCCUAAUCUCUAGACCCCGAGAAUCGGCCUGUGGAUGUGAUGAAGGACCUCGAGAUGGAGCGCAUAUCCUGGAUUAUCUGCGCAGGUCCUGGGUAAUCACCAGGGCCCUUCUAAGAGGGAGGCGGAGAGAGAGGUCAGUGUCAGAGAGAGAUGUGACGAUGGGAGAAGAGGUCAGAAAGAGAUUGGAAGAUGCUACUCAGUGGCUUUGCAGAUGCAGGGAGGGGGCAUGAACCAAGGAAUCGGGAGGCUUUUUGAAGCUGGGAAAGGCAAGGCAAUGGAUUCUUUCUUGGAACCUCCAGAAGGAAUGCAGCCCUGCUGGCACCUUGACUUUCAUCCUUUAAGACCCAUGUCUGGACUCCUGACCUCCAGAACUGUAAUAUAAUACAUCUGCGUUGUUUCGAACCUGUAAGUCUGUGGUAGUUUGCUGCAGCAACAACAGGAAUUAAUACUCAGGCCCUGGUGCUUUCAGGGAAGGGCUGUGGCCAAUGUGCCUGGGGCCUGGGGUGGGAGAGGUGGAGUGGGGACAGAUGAGGCUGGACAGAUAGGCAGGGGAUACACAGGGCCUUCCAAGUCACAGCAAAGAAUUUGCCCUAGCCAAGGCAGUCCAAGUGAGACAGGAGGAAGAGGGGAGCAGUAUUUUGGGGGGAUCCGUGCUGUGGAAGAUGGUCUGGUGGGAAGUGGCUGGGGCACACUGACAUUGGGGAGCUGCUGUAGGUGCAGCAGAAGGUGACAUGGCCUGGACCCAGCUAGUGGCAAUGCGGGAAGGCAUAGCCUGCCUGAGAGCUGAAACACAGCAGAGGGCAAAUUCCUCUUCUCCCCUGCCCUUGUUUUUUUUCUUCCUGCCUCACCCAGCUAUGGUGCCAAAGGCUCCAAAGGGCCACCUGAGAUAAGGUAAUGAUUUUGGAGGAAGAGUAAAUUCUGGGGAAUGUUCCCAACGGCUCAACUGGGAAAGGACAAUUGACUUCCUAUGUGUGCACAGCUAUUCAUGCACACUCACACCAACGACACACACACACACACACACACACACACACACAUGAGGGGUUCUAGCAUGCCCGUGGCCUUUCUCCUCAUUGGCCUUCUCCCUCGCGGGGCCAGGGAGAGGCUGCUCACCCUUGGCAGUCCCAGGAGCCCGAGGUGCGGCCCAGGGGGCAUGUCUGAUGUCAGGCCUCCAACAGUGACUCCCUUUUGGGGCCAACAGGUGAGGGAGACAGGAGGCGGGAGUCAGAGGACUGAACCCUGAGUGGGGAGGCACAGGGCACACUGCCAACCGACUCUUCAAUCACACCUGUGAUCACAGCAGAGGCGAAACUCUGGUCACUUCAUCAGAAAGAUCAAGAUUGCAAACCACAGCACCUGGUGUGUGCACACCCUGCACCCUUCACUCAAUCUCCAGCCACUCUGAACCACCUGUAGCUCUCUGAAUGCCACCCGUUUCACCUGUCUCUUUCUCUGUCUGGGCAUCUUCUCUCCCUUCUGGUCUGCCUGGUUAUCUCCUCCUGAUUGUUCAGGUCUCACAUCAAUAAAUUCCUUUUCCGCGGGGACUGGCUGGGACUGGCUGAGGUUCAGUGCAUGGACCCUGGAGCUAGUCAGCCCUGCAAUGAGUGCAGCCCUGCUGCCCACCAGCUGUGUGGGGCAGUCAGGGCUCCUCCCUGGGCAAGAGACAAAAAACCCAACCCACACUGGCUUAAGCAAAAACAGUAUGUAUUGGCUUAUGAACCUGAACAACCCCAGGAUGGACUUCAGGCAAGGGUUUAUCCAGGACUCAAACGAAGAAACCUGGGCCAGGUUUCCUACCCUCCAUUUUUCAGCCCCAUUUCCCUGGUGCGAGCUCCAUUCUCAGAUACACUCUGUCCAAAGCCCCAGGCCACAUGCUCCCCUG